rnacentral:misc_RNA from 1 species
GAUGAAGAACGUAGCGAAAUGCGAUACGUAAUGUGAAUUGCAGAAUUCAGUGAAUCAUCGAAUCUUUGAACGCAUAUUGCGCUCUUUGGUAUUCCGAGGGGCAUGCCUGUUCGAGCGUCAUUAUAACCCCUCAAGCUCAGCUUGGUGUUGGGGCCUGCUGCACUGGCAGCCCUUAAAAUCAGUGGCGGCGCCAUCUGGCUCUAAGCGUAGUAAUUCUUCUCGCUAUGGAGUCCUGGUGGAUGCUUGCCAUCAACCCCCAAUUUUUCUAUGGUUGACCUCGGAUCAGGUAGGGAUACCCGCUGAACUUAAGCAUAUCAAUAAGCGGAGGA